rnacentral:misc_RNA from 1 species
UUUCCGUAGGUGAACCUGCGGAAGGAUCAUUACCGAGUUAGGGACCCUCCCACGGGGCCCGACCUCCAACCCUUUGUGAACACAUCUUGUUGCUUCGGGGGCGACCCUGCCGGCACUCUGUCGCCGGGCGCCCCCGAAGGUCUCCAAACACUGCAUCUUUGCGUCGGAGUUUGAAACAAAUUAAACAAAACUUUCAACAACGGAUCUCUUGGUUCUGGCAUCGAUGAAGAACGCAGC